CUGCUAAGAGUCCCACAAUAGGACGAAACGGCCGUCAAGCAG
rnacentral:hammerhead_ribozyme from 1 species